CGUGAGACCCACCUUCCUCCCUCUGAUCGCACUCUACCCUGGAGGGGCCCAAGCUUGAACAGAAGGAAAGGAAGGCAGUAAUACUGCGCGGGGUGGACAACAGGAGAUGGUGUUGUUUAAAUAAAGUGAAUUCUCUUGCCUGAGGUCGCACACUCUCCUCCACAGAUAGGGUAAAAUUGUACCAAUGAAUCUUCCAACUGUUUUUUUUUUUUUAAGCUGCAAAUACUCCUGGUGGACCAACACACAAAGUCGUGAACACUUCAGUGUGAAUCAGUCACUCACAUGCUUGCCUCCGGGAGCGCCAGGUGUCAGGUGCAGGAAGGAGAGGAAGGGCACAGAGACAGAAGACCAGCACCCCCUUGACAGGUUUCCAGGGCUGCUUCCCCCAGCCCUGCGUGGAGUAGGCACAGUUUUCUUUCCUGUCAAGUUUCCCGUUUGGAGCAUGGAGCUUCGGUUGGUCCCCCUGGUCCCAGGCAGCUACCUGGGAUGUCCCUUGGUGGCGUGUGGUCUUAUCUUCCUUAAGCUUCUACCAUCUCGGUGACUGAUUUCCAGGGUGGCAGAGAAUCUGGUUGGGUUUCUUGGAAAAUUCUUACAAACAUUGCAGGCCUUCUCCCUUCCCAGAACAAACAGUGUUGUUUAGAGAGUUAUCAGAGCUCCUCCUCAGGGCGCUCAGAUGCUGCGUCAGCAGACAACACCAGGUUCCUCCCUGACUCUCCCUUUUUCCUUCUCCUCUGGCUCUGUCCUUGUCUUUCACCUUUCCCCUCCUUUCUCCCGUGGGAUUGCAGUUUUGCACGUGGAAUAAUGACUCACUCUGGACUUCAGGGACCUGGAUCAGGGGAUGAUUUAUUCUUCCUUGACCACCCACCCAAAUCAGCGCCCUUCCCAGUUUUCCCUUUCCCAGGGGGCUUACCAGCACUUACCGUGCUUUGCAAUGACUGUGUCCACCUGGUGUCCCCUCCGUCAGAUGCAAGCCGCCUGGGCACAGACUGCUGGCUCCCUUCUUUGUGCUGUGUGUCGGGUGAAGGAUAAGCAAGCUGGAAAGACCCGAGGGUCAGGCGAAGACGAGCGACGCUGGGGGGCCGACUGCGCCCUGGUUUCCAAGGCAGAUUUCACAGAGAAGGAGAGGUUUGCAUCCCGAGAGGGCGGAACAGGGGUUGGAUUUACCCACAACUCAGCCUCCAGGAUCAGGAGUGAGGACUGCUGGAAACCAUUGAGAAUGGAGCAGAAGCCAAGGUUCAAAUAGGGAGUGUGAGUUGGACCCUGAGGGCGGGCAGUCACCUAUCAAGGGUCUGACUCGGGCUCUCUCCCUCCCGAGGCCUCGCUCACACCCAGCCCUGCUCUGUGAGGACUCAGCGAGAGCCUCCUAGGUGACCAGGAGCCAGCAAGGCUCCCUGGAUGGGCAUCCUAGGCUGUGUCUGGGGGGACGUAGGGAGGGAUGACUGUUUAUCUGAGCACCGGCUGGUACUAGCCACUUGGGGACAAGCAUCCAGCUCUCCUCACAGACACUCAUGAAGGGAGUUGCUAGCAGCCCAGCCGCCCAGGCCUGUUUUCCCCACUGAGGGAAUGGGUGCUGGGCUGGUUAACAACUUUCUGCCGACAGCAGGAUUUGCCUGGGCCUGAGAGAGUGCUCGGCGCUGCUGUCCUUG
rnacentral:lncRNA from 1 species